UCGCCGACAGCAAGCUGCCCGACAUGCAGGCCGGUUGGGAGCAGGGCAUCUCCAACGUGCUGGCGGGCCUGUCCGGCCUGAACAUGGUCUACGAGGCCG
rfam:Rhodobacteraceae bacterium EhC02 A5_Contig5, whole genome shotgun sequence.